ACUUUCUGGAGACCCGCCCUCGCCAACAUGGCGGCGCCCAGUUGGGGCGGGUUCGUUCGCUUCGCGUUUUGGCCAGGGCGGGGGUCUGGGCUUUAGGCAGGUAGUAUUUAGUUUCACAAUGUUUGGGGACCUGUUUGAAGAGGAGUAUUCCACUGUGUCUAAUAAUCAGUAUGGAAAAGGGAAGAAAUUAAAGACUAAAGCUUUGGAGCCACCUGCUCCUAGAGAAUUCACCAAUUUAAGCGGAAUCAGAAAUCAGGGUGGAACCUGUUACCUCAAUUCCCUUCUUCAGACUCUUCAUUUCACACCUGAAUUCAGAGAAGCUCUAUUUUCUCUUGGCCCAGAAGAGCUUGGUUUGUUUGAAGAUAAGGAUAAACCCGAUGCAAAGGUUCGAAUCAUCCCUUUACAGUUACAGCGCUUGUUUGCUCAGCUUCUGCUCUUAGACCAGGAAGCUGCAUCCACAGCAGACCUCACUGACAGCUUUGGGUGGACCAGUAAUGAGGAAAUGAGGCAACAUGAUGUGCAGGAACUGAAUCGAAUCCUCUUCAGCGCUUUGGAAACUUCUUUAGUUGGGACCUCCGGUCAUGACCUCAUCUAUCGUCUGUACCAUGGAACCAUUGUUAACCAGAUUGUUUGUAAAGAAUGUAAGAACGUUAGCGAGAGGCAGGAAGACUUCUUAGAUCUAACAGUAGCAGUCAAAAAUGUAUCCGGUUUGGAAGAUGCUCUCUGGAACAUGUAUGUAGAAGAGGAAGUUUUUGAUUGUGACAACUUGUACCACUGUGGAACUUGUGACAGGCUGGUUAAAGCAGCAAAGUCGGCCAAAUUACGUAAGCUGCCUCCUUUUCUUACUGUUUCAUUACUAAGAUUUAAUUUUGAUUUUGUGAAAUGCGAACGCUACAAGGAAACUAGCUGUUAUACAUUCCCUCUCCGGAUUAAUCUCAAGCCCUUUUGUGAACAGAGUGAAUUGGAUGACUUAGAAUAUAUAUAUGACCUCUUCUCAGUUAUUAUACACAAAGGUGGCUGCUACGGAGGCCAUUACCAUGUAUAUAUUAAAGAUGUUGAUCAUUUGGGAAACUGGCAGUUUCAAAGUGUGCUGGUCUCUCUAUGUUGCCCAGGCUGGUCUUGAACUCCUGGCUCAAGCAGUCCCUCUGCCUCGGCCUCCCAAAUUGCUGGGAUUACAGGAGGAAAAAAGUAAACCAGAUGUGAAUCUGAAAGAUCUCCAGAGUGAAGAAGAGAUUGAUCAUCCACUGAUGAUUCUAAAAGCAAUCUUAUUAGAGGAGGAGAAUAAUCUAAUUCCUGUUGAUCAGCUGGGCCAGAAACUUUUGAAAAAGAUAGGAAUAUCUUGGAACAAGAAGUACAGAAAACAGCAUGGACCACUGCGGAAGUUCUUACAGCUCCAUUCUCAGAUAUUUCUACUCAGUUCAGAUGAAAGUACAGUUCGUCUCUUGAAGAAUAGUUCUCUCCAGGCUGAGUCUGAUUUCCAAAGGAAUGACCAGCAAAUUUUCAAGAUGCUUCCUCCAGAAUCCCCAGGUUUAAACAAUAGCAUCUCCUGUCCCCACUGGUUUGAUAUAAAUGAUUCUAAAGUCCAGCCAAUCAGGGAAAAGGAUAUUGAACAGCAAUUUCAGGGUAAAGAAAGUGCCUACAUGUUGUUUUAUCGGAAAUCCCAGUUGCAGAGACCCCCUGAAGCUCGAGCUAAUCCAAGAUAUGGGGUUCCAUGUCAUUUACUGAAUGAAAUGGAUGCAGCUAACAUUGAACUGCAAACCAAAAGGGCAGAAUGUGAUUCUGCAAACAAUACUUUUGAAUUGCAUCUUCACCUGGGCCCUCAGUAUCAUUUCUUCAAUGGGGCUCUGCACCCAGUAGUCUCUCAAACAGAAAGCGUGUGGGAUUUGACCUUUGAUAAAAGAAAAACUUUAGGAGAUCUCCGGCAGUCAAUAUUUCAGGGGAUGAACUGACACUGUGUGAAACUGAAAUUGCUGAUGGGGAAGACAUCUUUGUGUGGAAUGGGGUGGAGGUUGGUGGAGUCCACAUUCAAACUGGUAUUGACUGCGAACCUCUACUUUUAAAUGUUCUUCAUCUAGACACAAGCAGUGAUGGAGAAAAGUGUUGUCAGGUGAUAGAAUCUCCACAUGUCUUUCCAGCUAAUGCAGAAGUGGGCACUGUCCUCACAGCCUUAGCAAUCCCAGCAGGUGUCAUCUUCAUCAACAGUGCUGGAUGUCCAGGUGGGGAGGGUUGGACGGCCAUCCCCAAGGAAGACAUGAGGAAGACGUUCAGGGAGCAAGGGCUCAGAAAUGGAAGCUCAAUUUUAAUUCAGGAUUCUCAUGAUGAUAACAGCUUGUUGACCAAGGAAGAGAAAUGGGUCACUAGUAUGAAUGAGAUUGACUGGCUCCACGUUAAAAAUUUAUGCCAGUUAGAAUCUGAAGAGAAGCAAGUUAAAAUAUCAGCAACUGUUAACACAAUGGUGUUUGAUAUUCGAAUUAAAGCCAUAAAGGAAUUAAAAUUAAUGAAGGAACUAGCUGACAACAGCUGUUUGAGACCUAUUGAUAGAAAUGGGAAGCUUCUUUGUCCAGUGCCGGACAGCUAUACUUUGAAGGAAGCAGAAUUGAAGAUGGGAAGUUCAUUGGGACUGUGUCUUGGAAAAGCACCAAGUUCGUCUCAGUUGUUCCUGUUUUUUGCAAUGGGGAGUGACGUUCAACCUGGGACAGAAAUGGAAAUCGUAGUAGAAGAAACAAUAUCUGUGAGAGAUGCUGGCAUGCAGUGGGGUGAUCUCAGCUCACUGCAACCUCCACCCCCAGGGCUCAAGUGAUCCUUCCAUCUCAGCCUCCGAAGUAGCUGGGAUCGCAGUGUUUAAAGUUAAUGCUGAAGAAAUCUGGCCUACAAGGAGAUGCCUGGCAUUUACGAAAAAUGGAUUGGUGCUAUGAAGCUGGAGAGCCUUUAUGUGAAGAAGAUGCAACACUGAAAGAACUUCUGAUAUGUUCUGGAGAUACUUUGCUUUUAAUUGAAGGACAACUUCCUCCUCUGGGUUUCCUGAAGGUGCCCAUCUGGUGGUACCAGCUUCAGGGUCCCUCAGGACACUGGGAGAGUCAUCAGGACCAGACCAACUGUACUUCGUCUUGGGGCAGAGUUUGGAGAGCCACUUCCAGCCAAGGUGCUUCUGGGAACGAGCCUGCGCAAGUUUCUCUCCUCUACUUGGGAGACAUAGAGAUCUCAGAAGAUGCCACGCUGGCGGAGCUGAAGUCUCAGUCUGUUCUGAUAUGGCAUUUGUCAUAUGCCAUGUUCAGUGGCCAUGACCUUGCCUCCUUUCCUGGAGUUCGGUGUCCCGUCCCCAGCCCACCUCAGAGCCUGGACGGUGGAGAGGAAGCGCCCAGGCAGGCUUUUACGAACUGACCGGCAGCCACUCAGGGAAUAUAAACUAGGACGGAGAAUUGAGAUCUGCUUAGAGCCCCUUCAGAAAGGCGAAAACUUGGGCCCCCAGGACGUGCUGCUGAGGACACAGGUGCGCAUCCCUGGUGAGAGGACCUAUGCCCCUGCCCUGGACCUGGUGUGGAACGCGGCCCAGGGUGGGACUGCCGGCUCCCUGAGGCAGAGAGUUGCCGAUUUCUAUCGUCUUCCCGUGGAGAAGAUUGAAAUUGCCAAAUACUUUCCCGAAAAGUUCGAGUGGCUUCCGAUAUCUAGCUGGAACCAACAAAUAACCAAGAGGAAAAAGAAAAAAAAACAAGAUUAUUUGCAAGGGGCACCGUAUUACUUGAAAGACGGAGAUACUAUUGGUGUUAAGAAUCUCCUGAUUGACGACGAUGAUGAUUUCAGUACAAUCAGAGAUGACACUGGAAAAGAAAAGCAGAAACAACGGGCCCUGGGGAGAAGGAAAAGCCAAGAAGCCCUCCAUGAGCAGAGCAGCUACAUCCUCUCCAGUGCAGAGACGCCUGCCCGGCCCCGAGCCCCGGAAACUUCUCUCUCCAUCCACGUGGGGAGCUUCAGAUAACCGCGCCGCUGCACGGCUCUACUCCCGAUGAACUCUCCGGCUGAUGCCACAAACGUGGGUUUCCUGGGCAUGGGGACUGGCUGCCUGGCGCCUCCAAUCCCAAAUCCUCUGCUUCCUUUGAGCACAGGGACGGCUCCUCUGAGGCCUGGCCAGUGCAUGUAGUCACUUAGCUCUGCAACACGUGGCAGCCACGGGGGCUGGUGCAGCUCUGGAUGUCGCCCACCCAGCUGCCAGUAGGUGCUGGGCUCUCUCACACAGCACCCGGCCCCAGCUGCCUUUUUUUUUCUUUUAACCAGAAAAUGCACAACGUGUGCGUGAACCGCAGGUAUGGAGGCAGCGGCAUGCCGUUGCUCCGCUGUGGGAGGUGUGUGGGGUCAGGCCAGCCACUUUCCUCCGUGUUCAGAUGACUCUCGUUCGCCCUGACCGGCUUCUCACAGUGUCUCAGGCCACUGCGCCACCGCGCUGGUGCUGAGCAGAAGCGGGCAGAAGUGGGGUCUGCUUUCAGGACUUCAUUUCCCCCACUCGUUCCGGCCCCGCAUGCUCCACGUCUGCCCUUUGGUCUGAGUUAAAACUGCGAUGCUGAAAAGUGCGAGCUCUUUCCACGAGGAGGAGCCACACAGGGUGGCCUCCGAGGGUGAGUCGCUCUGCUAAGCAAGGGCAGCCGCUGCACGUCAGCCCGCAGGCCAAGGGUCCAGCUUAUCCUGGGUGCUCUGUGAUCAGAAGGUCCUUGGAUCCCGAGGACUGCAGCUGCUGCCGUCCACAGCGCCUCAGCCUCUCUUCCUGUGUGGAAGCGGGGCAGGCAGGGCUGUGGCAGACAGGCCUGGCAUAGCCCAGGUUCCAGGUGUCCUGGGCAGCCUGACCGGUUUCCUGAGUAGCCUCAAUGAAAACACCUGAGAAAAAGAAAAUGUAAACUAAGGAAGGGUUUUCCCACUUAAUCCAACCCAGAUUUCUAUUCAACUUAAAGGAUUUAAUUGGCAUUUGUGAGAAAUAAUAGUACCUGUGUCACUGAGUUGAUUGAUUUGGGACAUAGACGGUUGACUUUCCCAGACAGCAGCUUAGCGGAAAGCAGCAUCCCGAAGACGGUGUCGCAUGUCCUGAGCCUGCUUGUCACCUGGGCCUCACGGUUUCUCGUCAGCCCCGUCACUGAUGGGAAGCAGCACUGAAGUGUGAGGGCAGAAAGGACACCGCUGGAGUCAGGCGCUCCCCUGCCUGUGACCCUUUUCCAACAAGCUGAUGCUGAGCCAGCGGCCUGCUUUGUCCCUCAUACUCCUCCCAACAGUCCAAACCCCUACCAGACAGAAGCCACGUCGCUUCUGCACACGUGUCUGAGAGCGUCUGCCAUAGACGUCUGUGCGUUUCCGUGAAGCACUGCGCCCUAAGGACCCAACUCUGACUAGCAGCUGCCUCCCACUCCCAAACACUAACCCCGCUCAGGAGACUCGCACUGGGUGUAGACUGCGUCUUUGCAGAGGGAGAUGAUAGAGGCUUCUGAUGACGCCAGAGCUGUAAGUGUCGUGACGAGCUGGGCGCCCAGCCCUUCUUAAGCUGUUCUGUUUCUGUGGCUUUAACUGACAUAUUUCUGUAGCAUCUGCCUUCAUCUCAUCUCAGCGUAAUGAAAUAUUAAUGAAAUCGCUGAAAAGCUUUGCCUUCGAGAGGCCAGAAGCCUCGCGGAAUGUCUGCAAGUCCAAAGACGCGUGUGGGUUGUGCCCUGAAGUGCCGUCCAGCAGGCGCGUGCGGCCGGGCCGGCCUGUGCGUGUGGCCUUUGCCUUCUUCCCUUUCUUCCUGUUUUCUGUUUUUUUAAUUUGGGGAUUGAGAAAGCUGUACGAUUUUGUUAAAGAAAAAAAUAAACCAUUUUUUAAAGUUGUA